rnacentral:rRNA from 1 species
ACUCAAAGGAAUUGACGGGGACCCGCACAAGCGGUGGAGCGUGUUCUUUAAUUCGAUGAUAAGCGAAGAACCUUACCAGGGCUUGACAUCCUGCUAAAUUCUGGGAAACCAGAAUGUGCCUUCGGGCCGCAGAGACAGGUGUUGCAUGGCCGUCGUCAGCUCGUGUCGUGAGAUGUUUGGUUAAGUCCAUCAACGAGCGCAACCCUUAUGAUUAGUUGGAUUUUUCUAAUCAGACUGCCUCGGCAACGGGGAGGAAGGAGGGGAUGAUGUCAGGUCAUUAUUACCCUUACGUCCUGGGCUAGAAACGCGCUACAAUGGCCGGUACAAAGGGCUGCCAACCCGCAAGGGGGAGCAAAUCCCGAUAAAGCCGGUCCCAGUUCGGAUUGCAGGCUGAAACUCGCCUGCAUGAAGCCGGAAUCGCUAGUAAUCGUAGGUCAGCACACUACGGUGAAUCCGUUCCCGGGUCUUGUACACACCGCCCGU